CGGUUCCGCAUGGAACAGUGUGAAAAACUCCGGUGGUGUGAGAUGGACCCGCGUCUGAUUAGCCAGUUGGCGGGGUAACGGCCCACCAAAGCGACGAUCAGUAGCCGGCCUGAGAGGGUGAACGGCCACAUUGGGACUGAGACACGGCCCAAACUCCUACGGGAGGCAGCAGUGGGGAAUAUUGCACAAUGGGGGAAACCCUGAUGCAGCGACGCCGCGUGAGUGAAGAAGUAUUUCGGUAUGUAAAGCUCUAUCAGCAGGGAAGAAAGUGACGGUACCUGAAUAAGAAGCCCCGGCUAACUACGUGCCAGCAGCCGCGGCAAUACGUAGGGGGCAAGCGUUAUCCGGAUUUACUGGGUGUAAAGGGAGCGUAGACGG
rnacentral:rRNA from 1 species